rnacentral:sRNA from 1 species
UGCAUCUGAAGUCUGACGAGGAUGAGAACCUCCGGGGGCAAGAGGUUCGACCCGAGCGAAGCGAGAGAACGUUGCGCCAGCAACGGCCCGCAGGGCGAGCCAUCCUCUAUCACCGGCAG